rnacentral:rRNA from 1 species
UACGUAGGGUGCGAGCGUUGUCCGGAAUUACUGGGCGUAAAGAGCUCGUAGGCGGUCUGUCGCGUCGGCUGUGAAAACCCGAGGCUCAACCUCGGGCCUGCAGUCGAUACGGGCAAACUAGAGUACUGCAGGGGAGACUGGAAUUCCUGGUGUAGCGGUGAAAUGCGUAGAUAUCAAGAGGAACACCUGAGGUGAAGACGGGUUGCUGGGCUGACACUGACGCCGAGGCGCGAAAGCCAGGGGAGCAAACGGG